GGGCUCGUAGCUCAGUCGGUCAGAGCGCACGCCUGAUAAGCGUGAGGUCGGUGGUUCGAGUCCACCCGAGCCCA
rnacentral:tRNA from 3 species